rnacentral:rRNA from 1 species
UACGUAGGGUGCAAGCGUUGUCCGGAAUCAUUGGGCGUAAAGAGCUCGUAGGCGGUUUGUCGCGUCUGCUGUGAAAACCCGAGGCUCAACCUCGGGCCUGCAGUGGGUACGGGCAGACUAGAGUGCGGUAGGGGAGAUUGGAAUUCCUGGUGUAGCGGUGGAAUGCGCAGAUAUCAGGAGGAACACCAAUGGCGAAGGCAGAUCUCUGGGCCGUAACUGACGCUGAGGAGCGAAAGCAUGGGGGAGCGAACAGG